CUCUUCAAACACUCCCCCCAGCGCCCUCUCGGUGUUGCUCCCCCACCCCACUCCCCAGACUCCCGCCUCAAUCUGGCAAGGCAAAAACCUCCUUGCCUCGCCAGGUUAGAGCAACAAGAAAUACUCCGUGGCUUCCUCUGUCUAUGCAGCUCCUCACUCGACUGAAACCCCUCUCUUGCCCAAGUCAGCAACAAUCCAGAUAUACUAGCAAGUCAUAAAAAAGGAACAAAAGCCCGCAAACCUUAGAGCCGCAUUGCUCUACGGCCGAGACAAAUUACGACUGUCUAGCUUUCCCUCCUCUCCCCCGUAAGACAAUGUCACGUCCUUGUUUUCACCCUGCGUGUUCGAGGUGGUGAAGGCCUUCCCCUUCAAAAGGA